AUAAAGACAAGACUGCCAACAUACGGUGACUCUUUACAUUUCUCAGGAGCUUUCAGCAUCCCUCUGUCUUUAUCAGGACCUGAGCCAGUACAGAUGCAAUACCGCCUCCACCUGUCUCACCAACGGCAGAGAGUCCAGACAGUGAGGAGGGUCCAGGACCAGAAGUCCAGUCUAAUCAUCACCAGUGAUGGACCAGCACCUGCCUGUUCUUCUGCAUCUGGCCUCAUCAAUCAUCAACCGCAUUACAUCAACACCUUGAGGGAAGAAUCCACCUCGGACCAGAACCACACCUUGCCCAGCAAGAAAUGGUAAGUCACGCACAUUACUCCAC